rnacentral:rRNA from 1 species
GACGAACGCUGGCGGCGUGCUUAACACAUGCAAGUCGAACGGUGAAGCUCCAGCUUGCUGGAGUGGAUCAGUGGCGAACGGGUGAGUAACACGUGAGCAACCUGCCCCUGACUCUGGAAUAAGCGCUGGAAACGGCGUCUAAUACUGGAUACGAGAAGGGUCCGCAUGGGCACUUUCUGGAAAGUUUUUCGGUUGGGGAUGGGCUCGCGGCCUAUCAGCUUGUUGGUGAGGUAAUGGCUCACCAAGGCGACGACGGGUAGCCGGCCUGAGAGGGCGACCGGACCCACUGGGACUGAGACAAGGCCCCGACCCCUACGGGAGGCAGCAGUGGGGAAUAGUGCACAAUGGGCGAAAGCCUGAUGCAGCGACGCCGCGUGAGGGAUGACGGCCUUCGGGUUGCAAACCUCUUUCAGCAGGGAAGAAGCGAAAGUGACGGUACCUGCAGAAGAAGCACCGGCUAACUACGUG